rnacentral:rRNA from 1 species
AAACUUGAGAGUUUGAUCCUGGCUCAGAACGAACGCUGGCGGCAUGCCUAAUACAUGCAAGUCGAACGAGACCUUCGGGUCUAG